rnacentral:rRNA from 1 species
AGUGAACGCUGGCGGUAGGCCUAACGCAUGCAAGUCGAACGGCAGCACAGUAAGAGCUUGCUCUUACGGGUGGCGAGUGGCGGACGGGUGAGGAAUACAUCGGAAUCUACUUUUUCGUGGGGGAUAACGUAGGGAAACUUACGCUAAUACCGCAUACGACCUACGGGUGGAAGCAGGGGAUCUUCGGACCUUGCGCGAUUGAAUGAGCCGAUGUCGGAUUAGCUAGUUGGCGGGGUAAAGGCCCACCAAGGCGACGAUCCGUAGCUGGUCUGAGAGGAUGAUCAGCCACACUGGAACUGAGACACGGUCCAGACUCCUACGGGAGGCAGCAGUGGGGAAUAUUGGACAAAGGGCGCAAGCCUGAUCCAGCCAUACCGCGUGGGUGAAGAAGGCCUUCGGGUUGUAAAGCCCUUUUGUUGGGAAAGAAAAGCAGCAGGUUAAUACCCCGCUGUUCUGACGGUACCCAAAGAAUAAGCACCGGCUAACUUCGUG